GAUGAAGAACGUAGCGAAAUGCGAUACUUGGUGUGAAUUGCAGAAUCCCGUGAACCAUCGAGUCUUUGAACGCAAGUUGCGCCUCAAGCCAUUAGGUUGAGGGCACGUCUGCCUGGGCGUCACAUAUCGUUGCCUGAUGCCAGUUUCCUCGUGAUGGGUGACUGUGCAGGGCGAAUGAUGGCUUCCCGUGAGCAUUGUUGCCUCAUGGUUGGUUAAAAUUGAGUCCUUGGUAGGGAGCGCCGUGAUAGAUGGUGGUUGAGUGACGAACGAGACCCAAUCAUGUGAGACCCCUACCGAAUUUGGCCUUCAUGACCCACAUGCAUCUUUGGAACGCUCAUGACGAGACCUCAGGUCAGGCGGGGCUACCCGCUGAGUUUAAGCAUAUCAAUAAGCGGAGGA
rnacentral:misc_RNA from 1 species